UCGGAUGUGGUGCAUGGUGCACACCUGCUCGCAAUAAAGAACAAGUGCUCUGCCAAUAAGCAGGAGAACUGGGUUCGAUUCCCGGCGUCCGAA